ACGAACGCUGGCGGCGUGCUUAACACAUGCAAGUCGAACGGAAAGGCCCUGCUUGCAGGGUACUCGAGUGGCGAACGGGUGAGUAACACGUGGGUGAUCUGCCCUGCACUUCGGGAUAAGCCUGGGAAACUGGGUCUAAUACCGGAUAGGAGCCAUUUUUAGUGUGAUGGUUGGAAAGUUUUUUCGGUGUAGGAUGAGCUCGCGGCCUAUCAGCUUGUUGGUGGGGUAAUGGCCUACCAAGGCGGCGACGGGUAGCCGGCCUGAGAGGGUGGACGGCCACAUUGGGACUGAGAUACGGCCCAGACUCCUACGGGAGGCAGCAGUGGGGAAUAUUGCACAAUGGGCGCAAGCCUGAUGCAGCGACGCCGCGGGGGGGAUGACGGACUUCGGGUUGUAAACUCCUUUCGCUAGGGACGAAGCUUUUUGUGACGGUACCUAGAUAAGAAGCACCGGCUAACUACGUG
rnacentral:rRNA from 1 species